UUUCUUUUCCAAUUCCCAUUCUUCCAAAUCCACUGUACACUGUUUACAAUUUAUUUUAUAUUUUUACAUGAAUUCCUAACAUUAUUUAUGUAUAAUAUCUUUCCUCAGUUGUCUGUUUUUCUCAUUAAUUUUUUUACUUUUUUUACAAGUUAAAGCCAGACUUUUUAACGCAUAAUUUUGUUUCCUUUUCUAUGUUUACCACCUCGUUUAUAUGUAUAAUGUUAUAAAAUUGUUCUCUCUUCUUUAAUUUUUCACUACUCAUUCGUAUCAAUGUUUGAUAUUCCAAUCAGUAUCAAUCAGUCCACAUAUUUAAAGUUUUGUUUGGUUUUUUAAAAUUUGUUUUCAUCGGCAAAUUUGGUUUUUAUAGCUUUUUAAUUUCUUCUCUAUAUUCUCUAUUUUUGUUUUAUUAUUUCUCUUAGUUGUUUAGAUACCGAUUUUCUUAAUAAUAUCUCACUGGAGAACUUGUUGAUUUUUGCUAUUCUUAAAAACCUGAGUUACUAUUUUUGUUUUUUAAUAGUCACUUAUUUUUGUCACUAUGUGCAACCAUCUUAAACUGGUUUCAGAAUAAACCCUUAUUAGCCGUCGUUUUCGAUAUAUCUUUCACACAAUUUUAUUUGCAGCGUUGAUUAUAAUUUUAUUUUAUACUUAAUUUUGCGUUAUAUUAUUAUGAUUAGGCCAUCUGCGUAAGCUAUACAAUGGCAAUAUACUUUGAACCUUGUCAGUUUUAUUUCGAUUUUUCUAUACCUACUAAUGUUCUCUUUUAGAGUGCCAUUCUAAGCCUCUCGAUCAAUCAAGAUCAUCAAACGGUAGCGAAUAUACUCCUACCUGUUUCAGUGAUGAUUUGGAUGACUCAUAUGAAAUGCACUCUAUUUCUAUUGAAACAACAGAUGACAGUGUGGCAAAUAAACAACAAACAGAUUGUGACUUGAUGUAUGAAAAUGAUGCUAUUUUAGAUGACUCUACCCCUAAUCCAAUAUAUCAAGAACUUAUAGCAUCAUCUUCUCUCGGUAAUUGAAAAGACCAGCUUUCAGUAUUU